rnacentral:rRNA from 2 species
CCAUACCGAACACGGAAGUUAAGCUCUUCAGCGCCGAUGGUAGUCGGGGGUUUCCCCCUGUGAGAGUAGGACGCCGCCAAGC